CCUCCCCACAGCCCACAGCAGGGCGCAGACCCCGGCACAGGCUCACUCAUGUGCUGCUGACCUUCCAGUUCCUUCUCCUUGGCUUCCACCAAUUUCCUUGGCCUUCCUGCCCUUGACCCUGAAACACAGGAGCCCCAGUGGGGCUAGAGAACAGAGAAUGGGUCUGGGAUCCCCCAGCUCCGGGAGCUGUCAGUCCAAGGCCAGAGAGUCUUAGAGCCCUGAUGGGACCAGCACGUGGGGUGGGGGCAGGAAGGUGGCAUUUGCAGGAAGUAGCACUUUGCUUGGGCGUGAAGGCUAAGCUGAGUUAACCCAGGAGGGAGGGACCAGACUGCUCAGAGAUGUGGGCCCACAGCAGGCUGCCUUGCCUGCCUGGCCACCGAGGCUCCACCCUGCUGGUGUAAUGCCACGUGAGCUGCUGCGCGCGCGCCGAUCCGGGCCUCAGACGGUCCUCCUGGUUCCCCAACUCUGAGGGGCGACUCAGAAGCUAUGAGAUCCACAGGCCUCCAGGCGGACCCUCGAUCUGGGUGUGUGGUCGCGGAGACGGGUCACGCAACCCGCACAGCUCGCGGGUAGAAGCCGCAGCCAAGCGGCGCCGCGGCCACCUGUCCAGGAUCACGAGGGCAGGUGGGCCCGGUGGUGGUGGCCCAGGCGCGACAGCUGCGCGGCCGUCUGCCCCUGCCCGCUUCCGGCUGCUCCCUCCUCGCGGGAGGGUCCUGGGCUCCGCGAGACCCGGCCACGAGCGCCCCCUGGCGGCCGCAUUGAAAACAAACCGUGCGGGCGAGGCUCGGAGAGGAGGUGCGCGGGCUCAGGAGACCGACCUCUAAGGUCAAGGGCCCCGCCUGCGAGCCGGUGAGCAGGAUUGUGUGCCAGGACCCAAGGACACCACUCCCAAAGAGCUCGUCCGAGGGCACUCCGAGGGCCUGCCACUGCCGGGGUGUGGCCGCAGGGAUGAGAUGCCCACCACGGGAGGCACGUCAGCCUGCAGCCCGCAGCCUGGCGGGGGGUGACCAGCAGGCCCCCAGCGGCCAGGGGCAGAGAAGCAGGCACUAGACAAACAUCCACAUGCCAGUGACAGGAACUCAGAGGCGCAGCAGGGGCCCAGAGAGCGAUGUUUCCGGGUGCCAGGCGUUGACGGCUAACUUCCUCUGAAUAAGCGACAAGGAUCUGGUCCCGCAGGGCU